UAGACACUGAAAGCAUGGAUGCGGUAAAAGAAGAUUUAAUUUCAACACAAAUAUGUUCGAUUCUUUGGAAAACCAUAAGAGAAAAAAAAAGGACAGUAUAUCAGAGUAAAUUUUUUUCUGAUUUAGUUGUUGUUUCUUCUCUGCUACCUAACCUACUCCUAUGGAAUGUGUAACUCACUGCAUUAAUUUAAGCCUCAUUUUCUCUUCUAAUUUUCAGUGCAGCAGAAUAUAAGUUGAUGGUCUAACAUAGACCUUUGUUAUACUUGUCAGCAGUGCCACACAUACCAUGAGAAGCUUUCCAUUCAAGCACCCUCAAGGUUCCUAAGAGGAUAACUGCGUGUUCUUCCUUCUACUGAUGGAUUUGGAUACUGCAUAAGUUGAAUGGUGAAUGAAUAGUUGGAAGACUCACAGUUUUGAAGACAAAAGUGCACCAGAAACACUGAGAUGCAUGCAAGAGGAUGUGCCUGUAUACUCUACUAAUACCUUCCAAAGCACUGUUUUUAUAAACUCCAUAAACUAAAAUAUUUUAUUAAUUGAUGGCAUAACCUUGAGUAAAGCAGUCACUCUGUUUUGAAGCCAAUGUAUGACCAGUAUGAAAUACCACCUGCAGGUCCAAGUAAGAAAUCUAAGCAUUUCAAUGCUCCUGAAAGAUUAUGAUGCAUACUAUUUUUCAUGUACAGUAGUGACAUUUAAACGUUAUUCAGAGAAGGGGUAAUUAGGAAUUCUUGCCAAUGAUGAGAAAGACUGGCCAUAUGUUACUGAAAGUUGCUAGUAGAGAUUGUUUCACUCUCCAGUGUCUCUUAAAGCACACUUUUUUUUACAGCCCUCAGUGUCUGUAGAUAUUCUUCUGCCUUAAAGGGAGGUUGAUCAUUUUUGUUUGGCCAUGUAUCUAAAUGGGUAAGAGGAAAAACUUUACCAAAUCUUUGACCUAUACAAAAAGACUUCUUUUGCUAAAGACAAUAAAGGAUAGCAAGAGUUAAAAAGUUACACUUAGUGCCCUGAGUUGUCUAAGUAUUUGUUUGAACCAUAAAUACUGUCCAACAACUGAAGAAUUUGAUUCAGUGAUGAAUAUUUCUCUGUAAAUUUCUUAUUUGUAUAGUCAACUAAGUUCAUUCGCAGUACGAUUAAAAAUUAUUAUGACAAUCCUUUAAAAUAUCAUGAAGGUUUUUACUUUUACUUUUCUAUUUUUUUGAAGGCAAUUUCUGAUCUUUCUUUUUCAUAUAUAAACAUGAAUCCGUGUGAGAAAAAGUUUAGGGGUUAUUGGUCAUGUCAAGGGUUGAAUGGAAGAAAUUACACUACCUCUACUCUGGUUGUCACUACUUUGCCCGAUAUAGUCGUAAAGAAAAAUGUAUAAAAGAGCUUUGAAUCCUUAGUUCUUCGAUCUAUAAAUUAUAAGCUGUCUUUAUGGUUUUGAGUUCUUGAUUUUAUAGGAUUAGUACAUUAAAUUUAAUGCUAAGUAGGACACUAGGACUUACACUUUUGUCAAUUUCUGGUUCACAUUCAAAUUUAGUCUUUUUUAAAUACUAUGUAAAUAUAGACAGCAUAGAAUAACCAGGGUAGAAGUUUCUUUUUCAUUAAAAAUGCAGCACAGCAGAUUUGUGAUAAAUGGUGAUGUUAUAUAUAUUGUAUAUGCCAAUCCCUUCUGGAAAAUUGGAGUGAUUCUAGACCUAGCCAAGACUUUGACGUUCCACCCUAAAUGUUUAAUCAGGGAUGCUGUGACAUUCAAUGCUGCUUGUAUAAAUGUGUCAGCCUAAUUUUUAUUAAAUGAAACAGCAUCCACUUCUGAAAAAAGAAAAAUUAUGACUGAACCAAACUAAUGCUAUUAAUGCUUCUCACUGGAUAUGAUAUAAAAAAUCUUAGGUUAACUAUGAUCCUCACUUCACUGAACACAAACUUCCCUAGUAAAAGUUUUGAAUUGAAAUAGAACUCAGAGGAGUGCUGUGUCAAAUUAAUGAUCACAAAGCAAGGCUCACAGAGCAUUAGUAGUCAGCUUUUGCCUUGGGUGAGACCAGGGAAUAGAUGCCAUCCAGUUAUCUGAACAGAAUUUCUAUGCUAAAAUCUGUCCUUCAAAAACCAGGAGAACCUUAUGGGAUUUAUCUGUGACUUCUCCACUGGAUGAUUCUAUUCUGGCCAUGGAAAAUACAUACUGGAUUUCAGAUAAGGGUCAGAGACACCAACCACAAAGAAUCAUUAAGUUGUUGCUGCUGCACAUUAAAAGGGCUAUCCAAUUCUGACAAACUUUGCUUAUAUAUAUUAUUUUUAUUUUUUUGUAUAGUCUAAGGCUUUUUAAAGGGAGACUGGAUGCAUAAAUAAGGAGAAUUUAGCAGAAUUUAUGUUUAUGGGUAUUAGCUAAAUUUCCCAAUAUAGAAAAUAUUUUUGUAUGAAUAUUUCUACUUCAUAAUGAUGCUUUUACUGGUAUUUCUUCUUCAGAUUGUUUCUUAUGUAUAUUUUAUCUGCUUUUUGUCCAUCCCAUGGUGUUUAAAUAACAAAGUAAUUUGGUUGUAUUCUGCUAUCAACAAGUGAUGCAUGUUUUAAUAAUACCAGUUCAUCCAGGUUUUAAUUCCCAGUGCUAGUGAGAAAGUAGUGGACCCCAUCAGAGUUUCCAUAUUGCUGUUCUGGAGUAGGACAUUGGGAAGUGCUGGUUUGGGAAUGCUGCUCUUUAAACACAGAACAGAAACAUGCUCCAUAGGACAGCCAAGGUAGAGGCACAUACACAGGGGAAGUGUAAGGCUGCUCAGUGGAUAAGCAAUGGGGUUUGUGCUUAUGCUCUAAAUCUUCUGAAGUUUUACAGGAAGUAUGAUAGCUAAAGAACAAAGAGAUAUUUUGAGACAUAUUUAAACAUUACUGGAAGAGAGGAAGAGUUCUCUCUUUCUAUACAGUCAGAGCUUCCAGUCAAGGUGGAAGGAGAAAAGAGUCUUUUUCUUACAACUCUUUUUCUCCCAUUGUUUCCAAGGGGAAAUUGUACCAUACUCGUUUUUUGACAAAAUAAUAAAUUAAGACUCUAACACCUUGACCAGCUCUAGAUUGUAAAUUUACUCAUAUGCUCUUACUUAAUCAAUCCAAAUUGCAGAACUGUUGUAUGUGCCAGAAUUCUUUCCUACCUGGAAAGUGGGGGCAGUCAGAACCCCGGUAUCCUUUCUAGUGAAUGAAUGAUUAGAUGUGUUUAGUGGCAACAAAUACUGUUCUGUAUUUUCUUUGGUGUAUUGCUAUGUCCCAGGAUAUACUUUGCAGCACUUCUACCUAGACCUGAUAUCCACCCCUGCUGUUGGGUGGGAACAGAAGGUAAAAUGCAGGAUUAUAUUCAGAAAUACAGAUUAUGCUUAAAAAGAGACAUCAGGUGAUGUGGAGCUGUCAUGGUUUCUGUAGAUCCAAGCUUUUUUGAGAAAGUUGGUGCUUAGCUGUUACUACAGAGAUUUUAUGGUUUAAGGUAAAGAAAAACCCUAUUUUGUUUCCUGUAGUCCUGGUUCAGGAAGAAUUAUGUGAUAGACCUAUGCUCAGAAAUAUUUUAUUCAAAAAUCACUUUUUGUGUUACAGAAAUACAAAAUGUUUCCAUCAUCAUAGGAGAAAAAUUUAAUAGGAAAGAGGACUUGGGGUUCCUAACAGAGAAAAAAUAAUGUUCAUAGUUUAUCCUGUAUAAGAUCUAGUAAGAUACUAAUUUUCUUAUCUGGUAGCUGGAUCUUUAAUCUUAUCUAUUUAGUCUUUAUUCUUUUUAAGAACCCAUCAUCAUUUGUCUAUAAUUAGGAAGCAGUUAGUACAUCCAGAAACCUACUGAAAUGCAAGAUUAACCCAAAGGGAAAAGUAAUUUAAUCUUCAUUACAGUUUUGCCAUGUCACUGAAGUCCUAAACUUAGUCACAGAUGCAUUCUCUUUCUCUGUGCUUGAGAAGAGAUUUUGGUAAAUUGUACUGUGACAGCUCUAAAAAAUAGCAGCCUGCCUUUUUGUUCUUCCCUGCCCCCCAACCAAACUGCCUCCCAGUUACCCUGACAUAUGGUUAACUCAUGACCUUUAGUGUAAUUCGUGAUUAGAUGAAGGUUGAAGAUGUUCCAAUGUAGCUGUGGAGGGCACUGUGCCAUUACAUGUUGCUGGUGUCACUGGAAGAAAAUAUUGCUCAUCAAAAUACUUCUUUUUUUCCCCUUAUAGCACUUUUAAUUUUAUGUUUGUCUAAUUUUAUAUGUAAAUGGCAAAAUUCUGCAGCUUACAAGUAUUUCCAGCCAAAACUGAAGUGACAGUCAUAUGAGUCAUAUUGUUUCUUUGGGGAAAAGUGGAGAAGAUUAACUAUGGGCAAAAUAGUAUUAAUGUAGUAUCCAACAUUAUCUUGUUUACUCCACUUGAAAUAUUUAAGUUGCAUUAACAGUAAUGCUCCAUUUGGGCAUUACAUGGCCUUUGAUGACCAGCUGAUAAGAGGAGACAAAAAAAAUAUGCAGGCUGACAUGAAGCCAUCUGUUGCUGUCUGAAGACAGUUACCUCUCAGGCCUUUAAUCACAGAGAAAAAAGAAUUCUGGAUACAAACAUUCAGCCUUACAAAGGUGUUUCAGAAAAAAGCCCAAUCAGAAAUCAGAUAAAAAUAUAGAGAGAAAUAUGUUUGAUGUUAAAACUCCUCAUGAUUUGAUCAGCAUGUUCAGCAACUCAGGAAAAGUAACACUUAUAUUUUCUUUAUUACAUAAGAGAAGGAGCAACAGAAGCAUAAAAUACAGAAAUUACGGGGGGAAAAAAAAAAAAAGAUCUUUUAUUGUAGUGCACAAAGUAAUGUUUGUAUUUUAGGAUGAAAUAGAAAACAACUGGAAAGCUCUUUUAAUCAUGUUAAAGACUGUAUGAUGAUAUAUCCAGGUCAAAAUGUUCCCUAGUUACUGCAGCCAGUCUGGUAAAGUCAUACUGGCUAUUCAUAUCCCAGAAGCAAAAGCAAGGAAAACUUGCCCUGGUCUUCUGGAAGCAAGUGGUCUAUGACCCAAGUGUGUAGAAAAGUAAAAAGGGAUGACAAAAGCUGCAGAGUCUUCAAAGUAGCCUGAGGAGCCCUAUGGCAGAAUGAUUCCUAACCUCAAAGUAAAAUAGCUAUUACUUGAUCGAUGUAUCACAUAAAGUUCUUUACUCUGCAACCUCACAGAGCACUGUUUAGUUCAUAAUUUGUUUUUGAAAUGUUUUAUUCUGCAGCAUACCCAUAACAGUAACUGCCAUAACUUAAAUGAUGUUUUAAUACCAUGAGAUCUCAUUAUAACAGUAUGGUUAUUCAGUUUUUGCUGAUACAUGAGGUAAGAAUACCAGCUGUUCUGGCUGAGUUACUGGCUCUAUGGAUUAGUAAAAAGAAAAUUAAUAUACUCGUUAUUGACAGGGUUUUUUCCUGUUGAGUUGCAUUUAGAGGCACCAGUCAGGAUUAGAAUCUCAUUAUAAUAGAUGCUAUAUAAACAUUAAAGAUGACCUUACAUGGUAAAUACAACAUGCUGUUACUGUUUAGUUUAGUGUUGAAGCAAGCUGAGCUUUUUUUACAAUUUCAGGAAGAGAGGUCCUGUUUAAAUAAUGUUGCUCCUAUUUAACUAAUAAAAUUAUUUCAGUAAUCUAAAAUGUGCAUAAAGACUAACAAAAAGUAUAAUUUAGCUCUGAGAUUACACUGAAAACUGUCUAAAAUGUACUUCAAUGAUUUGUACUGACAGCCUAAAUAUUGUAUUGCAUAGUGAUCUGGGGGUGGGGAAAUGGAAGUAAAAUAAAUUGUUUUCCAUCACAAAACAACACUGAGUAUAGUAGCACGAUUUUAUUUAUAGCAUAUAUGUUUAUUUAAUAAAUUUAUUGGUAGUAACCUAAAGAAAAUUGAACCAAGUUGAAAAAAUGUAGCCUAUCAUCACAUGCUGGAAAAGAAGAAUGUGUGCAAAUAUGUUUGCAAUUUACUGAAAUACACUGCAUUUUGAUAUAUAUUGUAUACUGCAGGAAAGAUAAGUUAUCUUCAUAUCUUACAUUAUUAUCAUAUGUGUCAAAUAGAAUUUUAGUUUGUCAUAUUUCUAAAAAAUAUAGGCUCAUUUCA